rnacentral:rRNA from 1 species
CUAAUAUUAGCUCGAACAAAAAAAAAUUACUCAAUUAGUUCUCUCAACUAAAUUAAAACAUUCACCACCUUUAAAAGUAUAGGAGAUAGAAAUUUUCGCUCGACGCUAUAGAGAAAGUACCGUAAGGGAAUUAUAAAUUAAAAGUGCAACAAAGCAAAGAUUAAACCUUGUACCUUUCGCAUAAUGAUUUAACUAGAAAAACUUUAGCAAAGAGGACUGAAGCUAAAGACCCCGAAACCAGACGAGCUAUUUAAGGGCAGCCCAAGGGGGCACACUCAUCUAUGUGGCAAAAUAGUGAGAAGACCUUUAAAUAGAGGCGACAAACCAAUCGAGCCUGGUGAUAGCUGGUUGUCCAGUAAAUGAAUUUUAGUUCGAUGUUAAACCUACCAAAAACAAACAUAAGUUAAAUGUAGGAUUAACUUGUAGUCUAAAAGGGUACAGCUUUUAGAUAAAGGAUACAACCUUAAUUAGAGAGUAAAUAUUAAAUUUAACAUAGUUGGCCUAAAAGCAGCCACCCAUUGAGAAAGCGUUCAAGCUCAACAACCACUUAUUAUCUUAAUAUCACAUAUAAAAAUCAACUCCUAAAUUAAUACUGGACUAUUCUAUUACUAAAUAGAAGCAAUACUGUUAAUAUGAGUAACAAGAAUAUUUUCUCCCCGCAUAAGUAUAUAUCAGAACGAAUAGCUCACUGAUAAUUAACAAAUCAUUAAGUCUAAUCUAAAAAUUAACUUCUUAUAUACUAAAUUGUUAACCCAACACAGGAGUGCGCACAGGGAAAGAUUAAAAGAAGUAAAAGGAACUCGGCAAGCACAAACCCCGCCUGUUUACCAAAAACAUCACCUCUAGCCUAACAAGUAUUAGAGGCACUGCCUGCCCAGUGACAUUAGUUCAACGGCCGCGGUAUCCUGACCGUGCAAAGGUAGCAUAAUCACUUGUUCUCUAAAUAAGGACUUGUAUGAAGGGCCACACGAGGGUUUAACUGUCUCUUACUUCCAAUCAGUGAAAUUGACCUUCCCGUGAAGAGGCGGGAAUAAAUAAAUAAGACGAGAAGACCCUAUGGAGCUUUAAUUAACUAAUCUAAAGAAAAUAAUAUCAAUCUACUAGAAAUAACAAAAUUCUAAUUAGAUUAGCAAUUUAGGUUGGGGUGACCUCGGAGUAAAAAAUAACUUCCGAGUGAUUAGUACUAAGACCUACUAGUCGAAGUAAUUUAUCAUUAAUUGAUCCAAAUAUUUGAUCAACGGACCAAGUUACCCUAGGGAUAACAGCGCAAUCCUAUUUAAGAGUCCAUAUCGACAAUAGGGUUUACGACCUCGAUGUUGGAUCAGGACAUCCUAGUGGUGCAGCCGCUACUAAGGGUUCGUUUGUUCAACGAUUAAUAGUCCUACGUGAUCUGAGUUCAGACCGGAGUAAUCCAGGUCGGUUUCUAUCUAUUAUAUGCCUCCCCCAGUACGAAAGGAUAAGGGAAGCGGGGCCUACUUCACCUCAGUGCCUCCAAAACGAACAGAUACUAUAAUAUAAAUCUGAAAGUACAUAAACUUGCAACCCUAGACCAGGGUUU